rnacentral:rRNA from 1 species
GGGUAGGGGAGCGUUCUGUAAGCCGUUGAAGGUGUCCUGUGAGGGGUGCUGGAGGUAUCAGAAGUGCGAAUGCUGACAUAAGUAACGAUAAAGCGGGUGAAAAGCCCGCUCGCCGGAAGACCAAGGGUUCCUGUCCAACGUUAAUCGGGGCAGGGUGAGUCGACCCCUAAGGCGAGGCCGAAAGGCGUAGUCGAUGGGAAACAGGUUAAUAUUCCUGUACUUGGUGUUACUGCGAAGGGGGGACGGAGAAGGCUAUGUUAGCCGGGCGACGGUUGUCCCGGUUUAAGCAUGUAGGCGGAGGUUCCAGGUAAAUCCGGUUCCUUGUUAACGCUGAGGUGUGAUGACGAGGCACUACGGUGCUGAAGUAACAAAUGCCCUGCUUCCAGGAAAAGCCUCUAAGCAUCAGGUAACAUCAAAUCGUACCCCAAACCGACACAGGUGGUCAGGUAGAGAAUACCAAGGCGCUUGAGAGAACUCGGGUGAAGGAACUAGGCAAAAUGGUGCCGUAACUUCGGGAGAAGGCACGCUGAUAUGUAGGUGAAGCCCCUGCGGGUGGAGCUGAAAUCAGUCGAAGAUACCAGCUGGCUGCAACUGUUUAUUAAAAACACAGCACUGUGCAAACACGAAAGUGGACGUAUACGGUGUGACGCCUGCCCGGUGCCGGAAGGUUAAUUGAUGGGGUUAGCGGUAACGCGAAGCUCUUGAUCGAAGCCCCGGUAAACGGCGGCCGUAACUAUAACGGUCCUAAGGUAGCGAAAUUCCUUGUCGGGUAAGUUCCGACCUGCACGAAUGGCGUAAUGAUGGCCAGGCUGUCUCCACCCGAGACUCAGUGAAAUUGAACUCGCUGUGAAGAUGCAGUGUACCCGCGGCAAGACGGAAAGACCCCGUGAACCUUUACUAUAGCUUGACACUGAACACUGGUCCUUGAUGUGUAGGAUAGGUGGGAGGCUUUGAAGCGUGGACGCCAGUCUGCGUGGAGCCAACCUUGAAAUACCACCCUUUAAUGGCUGGUGUUCUAACGUAGACCCGUGAUCCGGGUUGCGGACAGUGUCUGGUGGGUAGUUUGACUGGGGCGGUCUCCUCCCAAAGAGUAACGGAGGAGCACGAAGGUUAGCUAAUCCUGGUCGGACAUCAGGAGGUUAGUGCAAUGGCAUAAGCUAGCUUGACUGCGAGAGUGACGGCUCGAGCAGGUGCGAAAGCAGGUCAUAGUGAUCCGGUGGUUCUGAAUGGAAGGGCCAUCGCUCAACGGAUAAAAGGUACUCCGGGGAUAACAGGCUGAUACCGCCCAAGAGUUCAUAUCGACGGCGGUGUUUGGCACCUCGAUGUCGGCUCAUCACAUCCUGGGGCUGAAGUAGGUCCCAAGGGUAUGGCUGUUCGCCAUUUAAAGUGGUACGCGAGCUGGGUUUAGAACGUCGUGAGACAGUUCGGUCCCUAUCUGCCGUGGGCGCUGGAGAAUUGAGGGGGGCUGCUCCUAGUACGAGAGGACCGGAGUGGACGCAUCACUGGUGUUCGGGUUGUCAUGCCAAUGGCACUGCCCGGUAGCUAAAUGCGGAAGAGAUAAGUGCUGAAAGCAUCUAAGCACGAAACUUGCCCCGAGAUGAGUUCUCCCUGAGACUUUAAGUCUCCUGAAGGAACGUUGAAGACUACGACGUUGAUAGGUCGGGUGUGUAAGCGCAGCGAUGCGUUGAGCUAACCGAUACUAAUGAACCGUGAGGCUUAACCUU